AUUGUCUGAGGAGCCUCAAGACUCUUCCCUGAGACCAGGAAAUGAGGGAACUGUUCCUACAAAUUGCUGUCAACAUUUAUUCUUAAUAAGUGUUCUUUGUAGGCACUGUUUUGGUGACCUCAAUCCCAGGAGGCACCCCCUUCGGGCGACGGGAUGCCUUAAGUGGGGAGUUGACAGGCCUGGGUUGUGUCUGAGGUUUGCUGGGGGCGUCGUUAUCUCCACUUGAGCCAGAUGUUUCCCCAGCCCCUAACAUAUGGUGGUUUCUUAGCACGACGUCUCAAUCAGAGUCUCUGAUGACUCCUGGUGCCAUCUUGCAGACAUGGUGUGCUUCCUCUUUGUGGGUGCCCCACCCAGAAAAGGCUGCUGCACAGAAGAGGAAGUAAACAUCAUGCUUAAUUCAUUAGGUUAAAACUAAGCUGUGGUGAAAGGAAUGGGAUGGAGUGAAAGGGACACACACACGCCCCAGAAGACCCCAGUGCGUCACUGCCUUUCAGUUUCUCUUGUGCUUCCUGCAGCUUGUGUCAGAUUCCAUGGACACUCAGCUCUGCACACGUGCCCCCAAGCUGCCCCUCUGCCGUUGGGGAUGUGUUACCUAAAACCAGGCACUGACCUCAGGUUAUGGAUUCUUCUGGAAUCUUCUGAACCUGGUGGGCCAUUUUUGACUGGAUGGAAAUUCACAGCAGUCUGUGUUCAUCAUGAUGAAAAUUAGCAGCAGUUCGUCUUAGUCUACUUGCCGCGGUGUACAGCUAUGACAGCAAACAUGAAGAAGUAGAUACGCCUGGUUCCACAGAGAACAGAGUACGAACGGAGAUUGUCCAAUAGGACCUUGACAUGGAAAAACCCUGAGGUACUAAGCUGAUGUUUAGAAAAGUAAUCCAGAACAGUCAAUCCAUUGUUACUAUAAUCAUGUUCUUUAGAAGGAAUGGGAUUUGAAGUGACCUGGUGGUACAUUUUCUAUUAUCCUUAAAAACUGUAUGUUAAACCACGUCCAGCUUUUGGAAAACCCAGAUAGCCAUUCUGAACCCUAUUGUUGUUUGCGUGUGUGUUUUGUUUUUUGGAUGUUAAGGGGUAACCUAGAAUGAGAUCUCUGGAGCCAUCAAAUGAGGUAGGCUAUGGUGGUUCCAUUAAUACCAAAAAUACCCACUGAGGGUCAAACACUCAGCAAAGGUGACACUGAUGUUAGUUCUCAGCAAACCCAACACAUCCCUCCUGAGGACUUCAGAUCCUUUCUACUUCUACCACCUUCCCGCAGGCUAUCUCCUCACCAUUAAUAAUAAUUACAGCAACUAAUUAGGAGAGUGGCUUACCUGCCAGGCACUAAGUGCUUCCCAUAUGUUAUCUUCUUUAAUGUUUAUAACAAUCCUUUCUCCAUUUACCUGAUGAAGAAAUUGAGGACUGGAGAGUCAAGGAUUACAGCCCAAGCAAGACAGAGCAACUCACAGGCACUGACAGGCUUUGAGUUGAGGUUCGCCUGGCUCCACAGCUUGGCUCUUUCCCACAGGCUGCCACUCAUUGUCUUUGAGGAUGAUCACUGAAACUGGUUUUUCCUCUGAUAAAAAUGUAAGAAAUUCCCCUCGAGCUGGUUCUGACAGUAAACGUAGUCAGAUUGCUCAAGGGAGAAUCUCUCAGAUUGUGUAAAAUUUAUCUCUUGAAGAAUCCUGUUCUAUGUGUGUCUGUUUUUAAGUAAAACUUUAAUUUUACUUAAUUUUAUAUUACUUUCUUUGUUCUUUUCCCUUGCCUUGUGAAGUCAUGUUUUUAUAAUAAAUUCAAUAUUAGGGAUAGAGAAUAGAACCUA
rnacentral:lncRNA from 1 species